GCUCCAGGUAAAUCCUGGUCCUUCUUGGUGGCUGUAUGAUCUUAACAACAAAACCAAGCCUUUGUGCACAUCUGUGGUUGUGACCAGUUGGAGAGACAUUAGGAGAUGAGAUACUAUGUUCACUCCUCACAGCUGUACCAGGGACCUGAGAUAUUCCGUCACUAUUCUAUGAAUGGGGAAACUGAGGCACAGAGAGGUUAGAGAUAUGCCUGAAGCCACACAGCUUGCAAGUGGUGGAUCUGGGAUUUGAACUUGUCGAUCUGGCUGCAGAGCUGAGCUCUUGGAGACUAGGUUUUACUGCCUAGUAGCAUGUAAGCCUGGAACUGCCGGCAGUCAUUUUGUAAGUUUGCCGAGUGAACCUCAAUGAGCAUGAAGCAGAGAGGAAAGCAGUACUAAGAGAUGCAAAAGAGUCUGUGUUCCAGCAAUGGGAUCUGAAGUCCUGGAUCAAACCUUACCUGGAGACAAGAUUUACCCAUCAGACAUGCCAGUUAUAAGACCCAAAUUUACCCUUUUUGGGGGAUUGAGUUUGAAUGAGUAUUUUUGUUUGUUUGUUUUGGCAUCAGAAAGACUCCUGAUUAAUACACAGUGUGACGCUGACCAAGAUGCUUCCUUUCUCUAGGACUCAAUUUUCUUAUCUGUAAAGUAAAGGGUUCAUCAA
rnacentral:lncRNA from 1 species